rnacentral:rRNA from 1 species
GAGUUUGAUUCUGGCUCAGAACGAACGCUGGCGGCGCGUCUUAAGCAUGCAAGUCGAACGGUAAGGGAGAGCUUGCUCUCCCCUAGAGUGGCGGACUGGUGAGUAACGCGUGGGUGACCUGCCCUGAAGAUGGGGAUAGCUAGUAGAAAUAUUAGAUAAUACCGAAUGUGCUCAUUUACAUAAAGGUAAAUGAGGAAAGGAGCUACGGCUCCGCUUCAGGAUGGGCCCGCGUCCCAUUAGCUAGUUGGUGAGGUAAAGGCCCACCAAGGCAACGAUGGGUAUCCGGCCUGAGAGGGUGAACGGACACAUUGGGACUGAGAUACGGCCCAAACUCCUACGGGAGGCAGCAGCUAAGAAUCUUCCGCAAUGGACGAAAGUCUGACGGAGCGACGCCGUGUGAAUGAAGAAGGCCGAAAGGUUGUAAAAUUCUUUUGCAGAUGAAGAAUAACCACAGGAGGGAAUGCCUGUGAGAUGA